UUGGGUGAGUGCUUGUAGUGUGAUGAGACAGGCGAGCUGGACCGCCUGACGCGGGCCAAGCGCGCGCCGCCCUCGCCCGCGCUCCACGACCCCGGCUCCACCGACUGCUAGCCACUGGGUACAGAAUAGCGCGGCGAGCCUCGUACCUCAGUUCACGCAGUCAUCCUCGGCCGAAGCGACGCACCAAUACAUUGCUGGCUUGUACUCGACCACUGCGGCCCCCCAUUGAUGGACCGCGCGCCCCGCGAUCGUACCGACUUUCCACACAUUCAUUUCUUUCAAGCUUGCGAAAGGACCGCUAUGUCAUAUCGCCUACAGUCGACGCGCGAGGAAUGUAUUUAUAUAAUUAUUACUAUUAAUAGAUUUGUAUGUAAUAUUUAAACUCUGAAAUUUAAAUAGGAUUUAUAUAAUGAAAGUGAUAUUCUC